AUUUAGAGACAAUUUAAAGGGAAAUCAUCACUUGUCCUACAUACUGCUUCUAGCCUGUAAUCUACGGUGUAGCACAGGAACUCAUUGCCAAUACACCAAUUUUCCAAGAAUUUAGCGCAGUGUCUGGCAUGCAGUAGGCGCUUAAUAUAUGUUUACUAAGAUUGGCAGUCUCUGCUGUCAUCAUACGAAGCAUCUAUGAACAAAAGCGCAGCACUAGGCACUGAGAGAAGACAGCUCUGGGAGGACGAGGCUCCUGUCCUCAUGGAGAUCACCGUCGUUCCUAAAUGCCUCUAGAUUUCUCCCCUCAGAAGAAGCUCCCGUCUCUACUCCCCGAGGUUGUCCCAGGAGCGGCCACCAUAAGGGCAUCCCCGCGGGCCCAAGGGGCCACCAACAUCCUCUGCCCUCCUGGAGACCCCCUCCCCCUCGCCUGUCCUCCGGGGAGCCAGUGUGAGCCGGCACGAAAGAAACCGAAGCCCAUGCCCUAGAACCUCCCGGCCUGUGCUCCCCUCUCAAAUCAGGGACUCACCUGCAGGACGGGAUGCCGAGCGCCCAGAGUUCCGCCAAGGGCAGCAACUUCCUUCGAGGACUCCGGCCCCGACCUCUGGCGCCGUCACGUCUUGCGGGACUCCACCAUUCCCUACGCUGGGGGAAGGGCGAGGGGUGCUGGAAAGUCACCCCCUCCGUCCUUUUCUUGUUUGUCCUUGACCUCCGAAUAGAUCUCAAAUUCUGAGACUGCUUCACCAGUGUGGCUUCCACGUAACCUCCCCAGGCUGGGUCGAGUCACUGUUCGUGCUCCACGCUGUGCCUCUUCCCCCCGGGGAGAAGUGGUAGCUCCCAGUUUACUCCGCCUGUCUUUCGCCCCGCCCCCAACAUGGCGGCUGCCAGUCUGCGCUUGCUGUUGGCGGGUAGUGGUGACUGCCGCUGUUGCUGAAGAAGCUGCUGCUUUUUUCCAUUCGGGCUCCGACCUAGAGAAGAAUUGUAAGGGAGGGAGGGAGGAAGGAAAGACGAGAGUGCUGAGGGAGGGCCGACGAGGAAAAAGAGAAAGAGGAACAAAAUCAGCAAAAUCAGUCAAGAUAUCAAAAAAGGCUGGAAAUAUAUGCAGUGUUUUCACAUCUGUGAAUCUUCUUUCUCUGCGGUGGAGUUAGGGGAAAGGGGGAGAUAAUUUCUCAUAUAUCCUUUUUUGGAGGUAUGUUCUUUAUAAUUUUACAAUGCUCAGUUUCAUUUAUUUUGUGGAGGUGGUUCUUUCUACUUACA
rnacentral:lncRNA from 1 species